GACGGGGGGGGCAAGUGUUCUUCGGAAUGACUGGGCGUAAAGCGCACGUAGGCGGCUUUCUAAGUCAGGGGUGAAAUCCUGGAGCUCAACUCCAGAACUGCCUUUGAUACUGGAGAGCUAGAGUCCGGAAGAGGUGAGUGGAACUGCGAGUGUAGAGGUGAAAUUCGUAGAUAUUCGCAAGAACACCAGUGGCGAAGGCGGCUCACUGGCCCGAUACUGACGCUGAGGCACGAAAGCGUGGGGAGCAAACAGG
rnacentral:rRNA from 1 species